CGGCUGCAGGGGGACGUGAGGCCCGUGAGGUCCGUGCGGCGGUGGCGGGCGCGCGGCACGAGGAGCGUGUGGCGUGGCACGGCACGGCACGGCGGGCGGGGCCGGCCGGCUGGAAUGGGCCUGGCUGCGGGAGUGAAUAGCAGCGGGAGUGAAUGGCAGCGGGGAUGGCGGUUUCCCAUCAGUGGUGUGUCGGGAGGGCGGCAGGCAGCGCCGCUCUGCGGGGCUCCGUGCUGAAGAGACGUUUGUGUGGGGGCAGGCGCUGGCCUACGGCGCUGUUCCCCGCGGGCUGCCUUCCCGCGCUUUGCCGGGGCCGGCGGUAACCGCUGUGGUGGUUAUUGCAGUCAGCAGCUUUCCUGCCCGACCCAUUACCGGUGGUUCGCGUGCUGCCAGGCUGCGGUACCGCAGGGGUGUAUUUGCACGAGAUAAAAAAAGGAGUAGCAUCCUUCCCAAGCCCUGAGCCGUGAGAAGCUCCCUGCCCAGAACUGAACGGACAGCUGCAGUGCAGGGUGGAGGUGCUCAGGUAGCACAACAAAAAAAGUGGAUGACUAGGAGAACAGCCAUUUAUGAGAAAAGUUCUGCCCUGAAUCACACUGACAUUGGAGUUGGCUGAUCAUGCACAGGGCACGGCGUGCAGGCGGCGAGCUGUGCGCUGCGCAGCGGGCUCAGCGUCCUCGUCCAUCCGAGCGCACGGCCGGCCGCAUCCAGGCGCGCCGUACGGAGCUGGCGGCGGGCAGCACAACAGAAGGCUUACCGAAGGAAGACGCGAGCUGGAGCCUUACGGCGCCCCGUGCCCAGCCGGGCGCACCUCGAGCUGCCGCUCCCCGCGCUCAGCGACCCGCGGCCCAACGCCACGUCCCAGCGCCGCUCCGGGCAGGCGUACCGCCCCGGAGAAAACACAGAUCUACGCAGUCACUUCCUUGAAGGAUCUCUCACAGAUAAUGUGAAGUAUGCCAGUUCCUCAAAACGCUGUGUGACAUCCUGCAUCACAGCUUUUUGAUUUGGGAGAUCGCAGUGCCUCACUGAAAUCUCAGGACAAAUCCUUCAGACAGGCUCAGGCCCCAAGAAGUCAGCAGACCUGUUCACAUGACUGAGAAAACUUUGAGUUAAUACCGCUCUCCACUGCCUGAAGCCAAUGAUAAAUCAAUAAGGACUUCAGCUGAAUAAGGUCAGUCCAAGGAAAAAGAAAAAGACAUGCCUAACAGCUUUAAAAAAAUGCACAUCAGACAGAACAAGAUGUUCACCAUAACAAUGCAGGUGACCCCAAACGAUUUACUUGGGCACUCUGCUUAUGCAGUCACUGGGGGGAGGACGUGGAUGAAGCAUGUAAAUUAUACAUUAACAUUCAAAUAAAUGCUUCCUCUUUCUAUUGCACGGCCCCAUAUCCUAUGAAAGAGAGCCUUACUAUACAUACACUAGGGGGCAGAGGCUUCCUAUGCAUGGACGUCUUUUAGCUAGAUUAGCUGUUCGACAUGCACACAUUUCCAGUCUGAACUCCAUUACACUACGUGAUAAUCCGUGGGGAUUUUAUUGCCAUCAGAUUCUUGCAAAAUACAUUGGGUGGUCCUAUAGCCCUCUGUUGAGAAUUUAUCUGUGAAAUGUCUCCUGUUGCAAACCUGACAGUAGCAAAGCAAAUGUUUUGAGACCUGUUGUUUGCCGGAUUACACCAUGCCAUUGGGGCACUUGGGUUCAGCCCUGAUGGUUUCUCUUAGCGCAGAUCAGUGUUCUCAGUGCUGGAGUUGCAACUGUAGCAGCAAUAGCAAGGAAUCUGAGUGAAUGUAACAAAAAGACAUUUUUCAUUCCCCUGCGUGGUAAGUGGAAAAAAUGUUCUAUUUUGAGUUUUGUUUUAAAAAACAAACAAACAACAGCAACAACAAACCCACAGGGCUUUAUUUCCUGUAAUUUCUGAAAUUCGCUCCUGUCUUCAUGUUGAGCAGCAGCUUUCCAAAGGAUCUGUUGUCAUAUUUCUGUAAGUUUCUCUACAUGGAAACACUUAGCAUAGUUUAUCUUAUUAACUUUUAAAGUAAAUUAAUUAAGUUUGUUUUAAAACCCUUCCCCUUCAGCAGGAGAACCCUUUCCUAAAAUAGCCUUCACUGGCAUGUAGUUUAUUUAACUUUGCAUUAAUAGCAUUUAAUCAAGCCUUAAAUUAGGUUUUUGAACCAACUUAGAUAAACUGUAUCAAGCCAGUUUGAUUUUUCAGUUAUGCAGUAGCUGAAGAGUCAUUUCAUUUUGAGAUAAACAAAAUAAGAGAUUUUACAUAGGGGUUUUCUACUGAUCAGACAAAGAAGUUUUAGUUAAGCCUACAGUUAAACCACCAUGGCUUUCAAAACCAUAGAACUUUAUUAUUCUUCUUGUACAAUGAAACGGUAAGCUGAAAAAAAUGUGCUGAAAGAUUUCUGUUAUGUAUCAAGGAUGUUCAGGUAUACAUCUAAAAUUAAGGAAAUAGAACUAAUUGGUACCUCCUCAUCCCAGAAUGGGCCUGGAGGUGUGUGCUCAGCAACCCAAAACACCCCCGUUGUACACAAAGGCCCCGAACGGCAUUGGAAGGGCAUGCAGACCCCUCUCACCCCAUAAGUACCCCAAGUCCCUUCAAACCAUCCCCAGCAAGGGCUCCUUUAUAUUUUCUCACAGCGCUCCAUUUUGGGGUUUCAGCAUGUACACAUGUUAAUGGCUGUACAGCAGGUGGGUAAUUAUUAAAUGAGGUGUGAAAAAAAAGUAUACCUUCCAACCCAAGCCAUUCUACAGUUUGUCUCUGUAACUUCCCUCCUUUCUUCCCGUGUGACAAACAGAAAUUGCUUCACAAAGAACUUCAGAAGGUAGUGAUUUUUAAACGCUGCAAGGUGUUGUACUGUGCUGGUGAAUCACACUUCUGUAAUUUUAUGUAGGCACAGUUACGCUUGCCAUUUUCCAUUUCAUUGCCAUUUUUCAACCAAAUCAUCUUGGUGUUCCCAUCUUGCUACAGUGAUAUCACUGUACAUCUCACAGCUGUUUUCCUAUACCAGUAGCAAGUGUUUCCAGAGCAGCAAAAUGUUGCAGGCACUAUGGUCAAAAACAAUCUUGAUGCAACAGUCAUACUGCAACUCUCGUAGGGAGUCCAGAGUUGACUGCAGGUGCUUAAGCACUAUCAGUUUGAACCUGGUUGUAUUUGUCUCCCAAAGCCCUGUUAGAACCUGCAGCCAGGUCUGGGUUUAAGCAGAGCUGCUAUUUAACAGCAUAAUGAGAGACAGUAGUCAAGGAGGGAGAAGUAAAAGAGAAUAGCACAUAGAUUUAACAUUGUCAAGGUAAAGUUAACCUGUCAGAAAGUCGUUACCCAAUAGGGAAGUGCAGACAAGGGGAUAGUGCAAAUAAAUAAAAAUCAUUCAAUUGAAUGCAAGCUAUAGGUUUUCCUAAACAUCUCUCUUAUCUGUGGAAGUGUAGUUAUUUUUCUUAAAUCCAUACGAGGAACUGAGUAUUUGCACAGCACAAAUAGCAGCAGUGUGGUUGUCAUGUAAGGAGAAGGGGAAAAUAGCAGGAUGGAGAACAUGCUGUGAUUGAGCCUAUGUGAGCAUCGGAGCUGCAUCAGAAUUUGGAUCUGUGCUCAGUGAGGCAAUCUGAAUUCAGUGAUGGGUCCUGCAAAGCAGCCCCGUGAAAAUCCAGGAAGGCAGUCUACUUGCUUUCUGCAUGGUUCAUUCAGGAGCUUUUCUGUGCUCAAAAUCUUUGGUAAAAGAACAACACCACUCUGUGGACACAUUGCCUGGUAGUCACUAAGGAGUCCUAGCAUCUGUGCUGUCACAGAAGGCAGCAUAAAACUCAGACAGCAGGUGGGUGCAGUGCUGUCAGAAGAGCUGCCAUAUCCGUGCCCAAAACAAAAUACAGUUCUUCAUGACUUAUAAGUAAGAUACGUUUUCCUCAUUAAGGUAGAUGCUCAUACAAACGUGUGGAAAAAGCAAAUGCAACUCCAGAGAUACCUCCAUGUUAUGCAUUGAUGACCUUACAGUUUGUAUUCAAGUGUUAAUGCAAAAGGUAGAAUAAACAACAUAAAAAUCAAAUGCAUUAUUUAAAAAGAAGAAAGCAACCUUCAGUGUUACUUAGAAAAAGAAACAGUAAUCGUGUUGACUUUCUGUAUGAGCAAAAGUAGCAUAUACGAGACCAACUUUUCCCAUACAUACUCAUUUCAGAUGUUGAAUUUGAGACAUCUUGUGCCUCUUCUUUGUACACACUGAACAGAAAAUACUUUACAUUUCAUGAAAAACAUUGUUCAUGAAAGUCACAGCUUAGAACCAGAUCAGAUUUUUUUUACACGUGCAGAAACAGAGAGACCAAAAAUCAGUGGCCAGUUUUAAGAACGUUAGUCGUUCCCUCUCUGCCUUAGUUUUCUCAUCUGCAUGAUGUAAAAAAUGAGACUUGCCCUGGGUGACGAGUGCCUUGAUAUCCAGGGAGGGGGUAGCAAAGUCUCUGUAAUGGAGGUAAGCAGUGCCCACUACACUGCAUGGAGUGCCAACACUUAGAUCACUUCUCACCUUCUGCUGCUUUUCUCCCUAAAUUAGAUUUCUGUCUCCCAUGUAUUUCUGCAGAGCUGUUCAUACUCCUGUUUAUUUCAACAUUCAUACAGGAGGUUCCAUAACCUCAUCAUUUCAUUCUUCCACCCAGCACAAAGGUCUUGGAAGCCAGUCAGAUCAUUUCAUCUAUAAAAAUAAUAUUCUGUCCCAGAAGGCCAGUGUGAUGCUUUUCAUAAGCUCAAAGCCUACCCUGCUUAUUCAGAAAAGACUCCACAUGAAUGCUGAAGCAAGUCUAGCCUGCAGAUCCUGAUCUGUAGUUAAAACAGGCAAUGGCACAGCAGAUGUUUUGGCAGGUGGUUGCAGAUGAGAAGUUUUUCUAGACCUUGAAAAGAAGAACUUGUUCCCACUGUAGAGGUUGUAUCCAAACAGAGAAUGUCUGUUUGUUUCUAAUCUCAGUACUGAGCUGUGUCUGAGGGUCUCUAUGCCUUGUGCACACGAAGGGAAUAAGGAAGCUAACGCUUCUGAUACCAAGGAGAGCCUUUAGCCACUAUAGCUAGAAUAUAGUUUUGCUGCAGAAAGGAAGUGGGAGAUUUGAGCAGCAGGGAGAAAAGAGCUCGUGGCUUGGUCACUGAUUUAGGAUGCUGGCAAUCCAGGUUGGCUUCCCACUUCCUGCUCAGUGUUCCUAAAUGUCCAUACAACGUGGAGAUGGGAAUCUUGUUGAGACCUGUGUUGUUCCUGAGAGAGUAAACUCCUGGACAGAGGGACUCCUGCUUAUUAUAGAGGUGCAUGUCAUUUAUGUCAAGGAAAUUCUGCCUCUAAGGUCACUGGAAUAUGUUUUCAGUUUUGUGGCUGAGCCAAAGAAAUCAGAAUAGGGCUGAAAUCAGUUUGAACUGAUUGUGACAGAGAUAUCUUUGUCUGUGUGUGUGUUCACAAGAAAAACUGUAGAAUGUUGCUCUGAGUUGUGGAACAUACAUUAUUCAACCCCAAAUGAAAGCUUUCCUUACUUAGAGUGAAAAAACCUAGUUAGCAGGCUAACAUAAAAUUGCUGAUGGCAGCAGCCACGAUUUGCAAAAGCAGGCGCUCAUCUAGGCUGUGUAAUACCCAGAUUUGAAUACACCCUCCAUCUGAGAGGAUCUGAUCUGCAUCUUUCCUUUCUCACAGCGGCAUCUUCUCAAGGCUGUUGUACAUCAGCGAGAUGUAGUCAAAAGAAGGAACCUUGCCUAACGCAGUGAUUUGUCUUGCCUAAUGAUUUAAUCUUCUUAAAAGGCAACAUAUUUCUGACAUGCUGAAAUAGUUCUUUUUUUCAGGUGUUUUGAUGUUGUUGUGUUUUGUUUGUUUUUUUGGUUCAAGGAAAACUGUAAUUCUGAAAGAGGUCAGUUCAUAGCAUCUCUUAUUUUUCUUUGCUCUUUGAUUGUUGUUUUGGUUUGGUUUUGAACUGUCCAAUGGACUCCUAAAAAUAGGAUAUAAUCUUCUACUGAAAUCUGUAGGAGAGUAGAAAAAGGAUACAAAUGAUACCAGUCUCCUGGGGACUUUUCUAGAAGGGCCUCUGCUUUAUCAUAAAAAAAAAAUAUGAAAUAUAACAUGUUUUAAAUCAUGUGCCAAAUAGUUUGAUUUAAACUUCAGAUUAUGGGACUGAAAAGCUUUUUAAUGUAAAAUAUUUCUUGCAAAAUCUGAAACAAGCGUAAGUUGACUCAUAGCAGAAGAAAUGAAUCAUAAAGCAUAGCUACUUGGAUAUUCACAGCAAUGAACACCAAAACCUCCAACAGUUUCAGCAAAUUGUAAAACAGACUCUACACACCAAGUGGGCUGACCAGGCUCCUCCAAGGGAGCAAGAGAAACUAAAAGGGAAAGAAAGAACAGCAAACAGGGAGGGCAAGGAAAGAAUGACCAAAAAAACUUAAAAUCUGCCUCCUUCAAAAUCAAGAAUCUCCUGGAUGUCUGCAGUCCCGAAAUCCUGAUAAAAACAGUGAAAUCUGAAUAGAGAUCAUAUUGCAAAAUGGAGCUUUAAACAGAUACCUAUAUUAUUACAUUGCCUAUCUAAUCCCAGGAUGGGAAAGAGAGAGGAAGGGAGGAAGGAAGGGAUUAAGUGAGGAAGGCAGACAGGAAGGAAGGCUGAAGGCAGGCAGGAAGGAACAAAGCAGGGAGAAGCACAGGUGCCCGGAUCUUGGUCUUUGCUGGGCUAGAACAACAGUUCCUCUCCUUGAAGGCAAUCUCCUUACCUUAGAGUGGAACACUAACUGUGGAACUGAAGAAAGAGUACAGGACAAAUGGAAAACUUUAAUUAUUCAGUUAGUUUAUUUCAAGAUCUACUACAUUCUAUUAGCUUGAUAUGUAGCAUUUAGAGACAUUUACUUUAGUUUUACCCAUGCUGGGGCCCCACCUCAUUACCCAUGGAUGUGUUCUUGGGCUUGCAAGAAGAGCGCUGAGGGUGUGUUGAAGCUUGGCAGGGAAAUAAUGGGCACAGUGUAGCAACAGAAGAGAUUGCUGCCGGCUGGAACAUGGAAAGCCACGGGGAAGCUAGUAGCCCAGGGAGCCUGCAUACCCAAUGCUUCAUGAUUGGAAAGGUGGGAAGUUGCAUCUCUGGUGGAAAAGGACUAUCUGGUACAGGAGAUGUCUAUGCAUUGGAAACUAAUUUGAAUUCAGUAGAUUAUGUAUGAGCUUGUAUGUAAAUCCUCACUCUCAGUUUUUGAAUAGUGGAAGUUUCAAAAGGAAACAUGGAAAAAGUACUUCCCGGGAGACAGUGCUCGUAAAAAUUUUGAAGUGAAUUCUAAAAGAGUGCUUCAUCAGCUUCUAAUGAAGAGACAGCUGAAUUUCUUAAGUAAGUUUACAGUGUAAGACCUGGUUCACAGCCCGUUCUAACCAGCAGGUAUUUUCUUUGGACAUAGUUAGAUCACGUUUGUGAACUAUCAUUUGUGCUUUCUGCUGCAAUUGUUAGUCACUUGGGGAUUUUUCAGAGGUACUCUAAAUACCAGAGGAAAGACCAAAACUUAUUUCAGGUAUGAUGUAAUCCACUUAAUGAAAUCUUCCCAGGGAUUUUUCCGGUUUACUGUUCACAAAUUAUGAUUAUUUGAAAUGUAACUACAAUUAAUUACCGGCUUUCAAAUCCUGUUGAUACUUUGAACUGCUGCAAUAAUUUUGCAUUUACUUAUGAAAAAGCUUACACAAUUGUAAAUGCUUAAACCUAUUAGCAGAAAGUACUUGGCUCUAAUCUCAUCCUUCUGUAAUUAUUUGGAAAAUUGUACACAGUAAUGGCUAUUUAAUUCAGUUUACCUGCAAUGCAGCUCAUGUCUCAAUGAGAAGAAUCAACGCAAAGUCAUCAACAUGUAUGCUCACAGUGUUAUAUACACUAAAAUGCUUGAAAAUUAAGAAGGAAAAUGAACCACCUGAGGUAUUUCAAAACCAACUCAUCAGGACUACCUUGUCAAAGACAGCAUUUUUCAUUGAGAAGAGGUUAGACCAGAUGUGGACUUUCUAAACAGACGCUCUGUUGGAGAUAGAAGUUGACAAACAAAAACAAAAGCAAAGAAACAAACAAAAAAAGCCCACAUUUCAGAGAAUAUAAGGUCCCACCUUAUUCUUUUACAACUUAAUUUACCAGCACAUGCCUCUGACUCACUCCAAACACUGGGGAAAAAAAAACAAAACACUGAGCAUCAUUCAAACAUUAAGAAUGGCAGAACAAAGUUUUGAUAGAGAAAAAGAUGAGAAUUACAAAUCAUUGUUUUUAUGGAAAAUGAAGUGCAAUAUUGACUCCAGACAAACUCCCAUUUCUGGUAAACUUGGGAGACAUUAUCAGUUAACAACUGCCAGGCAAAUGUAAUCAACAGUAAAGCAUCCUGCACCCUGCCUGCAAAGACCAUCAUCCUUUCCAAACCAUCCAUUCCAAAGCGCCUAAAAGCCGAGACAUAUUUGUUUCCAUGUAAAUGCAAGUGUUAUGCUUGCUCCUAUUGGCAGCUUGCAUUUGAGGGAAUCUGACUUCCUUCCAUGCACUUUUCAGCUGAAACAAAAAUCUGUGUCUGAUCAGCCUGGGGCAGUGAAGUUGCCCUGGCACUGCUUUUCCUGGUUGUCCAGGCCUGUGAGGACUCCCCUGGUCCUUGAUGUACGUUUUCCUUCAAUACACUGCAACUGUAUUUGCUGCUCAAAGCCUUGUUGUGGAAUUUAUUUUUUUUCCAUCAGCAGGCAAGCAAGCUGGGGAAAGAUGGGAAAACAGAGAAAAGGAAUGUUAAAUCUCUGUGCAGAGACUCAAACUGACAAUCAGCCAGCAAAGCCAUUGCUGCCUAAGUUAUUUAGCUAAAAGAAUACAUGAGAAAUGUAACAUCAGAUGACAAUUGUGUCAGAGACUAUGACAUGACCAGUUUCCAGCUGCUGAUUAAUCAUGCAAAAGAAAUUAAUUUGGACAUGGACGAGCGUGAAUCUAACUUUUGGGACAAAUAACCACAUUCAUAGGGGAAGUAGAAGGGAAGAAUUUACCAAGUGUUUGGUCAAGUUAAAUCAUUUCUUUUAGAACUGACAUAACCAUCAAUUCUCUCUGUUCCUGUCAGAUACGUCACCAGAUCCUAAGGGCCCAAUUGCAGUUCUGCAUUAUUCAGUCUUCUGGCUUCUGAAGAAUUACUGGAGGUUUCCCUAUGUGCAGAUCUGGUCAUCAGCUUGAGGGAGAGGAGAUGGGAAAAGGAGUGGAAGAAAAAUAAAACCAGUGAAAAUUUAGGAGUUUCAGUGAGACUGAGCAACAAAAGAGCCCCUGGCAUGGGUCUGAAGGGCAUUGGGAAGGUUUCCUAGGGCACUCAGCACUGCAAGUAACAUGGAUCUUUCGGCUCUGUCAUUCACCUUAUCUCAGCUUCAUUCUUGUGAGGCCCAACUUACAGUACUGCAUUCAGCUUUAGGGCCCCAGAAGAAAGAUGUGAAGUUGUUGGAGUGAGUGGGUCCAUAGGAGGCCACAAAGAUAUCAGAGGGCACCUCUCGUAUGGAGACAGGCUGAGGGAGCUGGGCUUGUUCAGCCUGGAGAAGAGGAAGCUCCAGGGGGACCUCAUUGCAGCCUUCCAGUACCUAAAGGGGGCCUACAAGAAGGCUGGAGAGGGAUACUUUAUCAGGGGGUGUAGUGAUAGAACAAAGAGUAAGAGCUUUAAACUAAAAGAGGGGAGAUUUGGGUUAGAUGUUAGGAGGAAAUUCUUUAUUCAGAGGGUGGUAAGGCCCUGGCACUGCUGCCCAGAGAAACUGUGGGUGCCCCAUCCCUGGAGGUACUCAAGGCCACAUUGGAUGGGGCUCUGGGCAGCCUGAGCUGGUGGGAGGUGUCCCCAGUGAUGGCAAGGGGAGUGGAACUGGAUGGUGUUUAAAGUCUUUUCCAACCCAAACCAUUCUGUGGUUCUUUGACAUACAAGGGAUGACUUGGCCUAGUUUGCUGAGCAGGAUAGCUCCGAUGAACUUCAUUCUCUCCAUCAGCACCAUUGCACCACUUUCUUAAGUGCUAAAGCACCCUCUAACAGUCUUUCUUGAAGGCAUUAAAUCCAAGUAUGCUCAUGAGAUGUCCCUUCCAAAAUCAGGGCCCUGUCUCACACAGGGGCUGUUCCUGCAAAGAAUCAAAAUUUUCAUUUGUCUAACUUUAAAUUCUGUUCCACCAACCAUAACAAAUCACGGACUGAACCAUUUUCCCUCCACAUCUCUUUCUGAAACAAGAAAAUUGGUAGACAGUUCUCUGAUUACCACUGUUGCUGUUGAUGCAAAUGGCGCCUUGCCAGAUCCUCUAGUUCUUGUUCAGCCCCAUCCAUCACCUUCACUGGGCAGAAGAGCUGUUUGGUAAACUGUCUCUCAGUGCUAGAUGGGUCUAUAAGAAUAAAAAGAGGACAUUUCAUUGUUUCAACAUUCUCUUCUUUUCAGGAAAUAUCAGAAAUGUGAAACAGAAGGAAACAAAGUGUGUUGUUGUUGGAUUUUUUAAAAUAAAAUAUACUUGAAAUCCAGUUCAGAAAUGACCCUUAGGACAGUUAAAGAAAUUUGGUUCUGUCGUUAAGAAGUAUCUCUGCCAACAAAUGAUGGGUGUUUCCAGAAUACUGUUUCUCUGAUUGGGAAGGGUCAUUCCAAAGCAUUUCUCUGGCAGCUUUUAGUAAUACAUCUCCCUCUGCCUGAGGAAGAUAUUCUCUUAAUCAGGACAAGGCUGUCCUCAGCCAGCAGGAGAGAAUGUAAGGGAACCAGCAAAUCCCUAACAUUUUGUCACAGGGAGAUGCAUGUGUAAAGUAACUUGGAGGUACUCACUUCCCGCUCCUUGUAAAACAUCCCUGAAUAAAAGCUGUGGUCUGUUCUUGGUGGAGAGAAGACCACAAGGGCUGCUAGUUUUUCCAGUGCCUUUGGCUGGGCUCGCCAGGCCAUCAGGCUGGGCUGGGCUGCCACUCUGACGUACCAUCCUCCAUUCUGC
rnacentral:lncRNA from 1 species